ACGUAGGUGGCAAGCGUUGUCCGGAUUUAUUGGGCGUAAAGCGAGUGCAGGCGGUUUUUUAAGUCUGAUGUGAAAGCCUUCGGCUUAACCGAAGAAAUGCAUUGGAAACUGGGAAACUUGAGUGCAGAAGAGGAGAGUGGAAUUCCAUGUGUAGCGGUGAAAUGCGUAGAUAUUAGGAGGAACACCAGUGGCGAAGGCGGCUUGCUGGACAACAACUGACGUUGAGGCUCGAAAGCGUGGGGAGCAAACAG
rnacentral:rRNA from 1 species